GAAACCAUGCCCAUCCACAGCACUAUAGUAUUAGCACGUAUUGUGGCUUCAGGGGUCCCAACCAACAUGAACCUUCAUUUUUCUUCUCUCUUUCUUUAUCUUCUCGAAACUCCCAGCCAUGGAAAUGGUUGAGUUUUCUUUGUCUUCUUGGAGCUCCCAGCCAUGGAAAUGGCUGAGCCAUCUUGGAUCCACCGCAUUUGAGGAUGACCCCCAAGUCCCCCCUCAGUUUUCAACCUCCUCGUCCUUACCUGCACGCACCUCAUGCCGGGGACGGCGCUUGGUUUGGAUCCCCGUGUGCCUCGUCGAUCUCCCAGGCCGGUCAAUGGGAGCAGGGCCCUAAUAGCAGCUGCGUGAUGGAGGAUGUGAGGUCGUCGAAGUCGACGGUUCCUUCCCAGUAUGUGUCCAUGGAGGCGAUGAAGUAGUGGAUCUCGUUCCCUUUAGCUCCUGCACGAUUUUGGGAUCUUGGGGGUGUUGUCCGUCCCCAAGCGCCGAGCCGUAGGCGUCAAUGCUGUCCCCAAGCGAGGCACUCCGACGUAUCGUCUUCGUCCUCAACAGCGGCAGCCCGGCUUCGGCAUUGCAUUCUUCCACCUACAGGGAUGCAUAUGGGGCAUUGUAGCACCAAGGUGCUAGUGCAUGUCCGUUCAAACAUUUGAAAAUAUGAACUUUCUUUCUUUGAUGAGAGUACCUCGUCACUGAUACUGUCAAUGCUAUAAUGGUCUUGUUUUUCGUCCUGUCCCGCCUGCAAGGUAAGAUACUAUACCAUAUAGUUUGGAAUAUAAAAUAGGCCAAUUGUUUUUCUUAAAUUGGAAAUGUAAAGUUUUGACAUGUGUAAAGUGUUCUUUCAUGCACUCUUUUAAAGUAUUUUAACAUGUGUGAAGUUUCUUCAUAGUCUUUAUUUGAAUCAUCUUCUAAUGUAAUUACAUAUGGACAUACUUUCUUUUCGAAUACAUUUGCAUACAGUUUUUGGAAAUUCAUAAAAUAACAACAAUUAUUUAACACAUGUAGAAGAUGAGAAGUGAAAUACCUGAUUAUUGAGAAGUUUGUUCUCUGUAAUCUUUUUUGCUUCAUUCAUGACUUUUGUUCCUUGGAUUUCCAGUAUGAUUUAUAAAGAACAUGCUUGCAGUAUACUAUUGGUAAACUAUUAGAACCUGUUUUCCAAUAUGGAUCCUUCUGGAGGUGGCUUGAUUUCGUGCAGAAGAUGGUACCUGCUCGAGGUGGUGUUUUCGCUAGACGGAAGUAAUGAUGUACAUUGUGUCAUUGCUGGCUGAAGUUGAUCGGACAAUCCUCAAUAUCACGUACAAUGUUCUACAAGCACAAUAUUGGUAAGUGGAAGUAAAAGUAAGUGCCUUGCCUAAUUGAGCUUAAACUUGUUAGUUGGGCGGCAACGCAAAUAUGAACUUAUAUAUGUGCUACUAAUUAGAGCAAAGGGGGUUCAUGAAAAGGACUAAUGCUACAUAGUGCAACCCCAAUUCCAAUGGAGAUGGUGAACGCUCUAGGGCAUCCCAGUUCUUUUUUGCUGAUCUAUCAGGUCCAACACCUGCGACUGCUCGUCAGGUCCAACAUCCGCGUCGAGGAGUCCUGCUUCGUUGCGAAGGGAGAAGUCGGUUUUCAGUCCCUCAUGGAGGCCAUGCAGUUCAUGGCGUACGUCUGUUCCAGGCCGGCGCUUUGUAGACAGAGCUUCAAAAUUCAGGACAUCUUGGAGGAGAACCGCUAGGGUUCUCUCGAGGAAGUUUAGGUCCAUCGGUGGAGCAGGAAUUCCUGAGCGAAUCUUGAAGGACAUCUUUCUUUCUAGUAAAUAUCUAAGCCGAAGAUAGCUCCCUAUGUAUUUGAUGCAACGGAUGUAAAUAUUUUGUUUAUGUAGAUGUCCAUCUGUGCUCUAAUCUAGUAGUAAUGAUACAAUAGUUUCUUCUCGGAUGCAUGUACUGCUUUCAUGUAAGAUUUAACAUCAGAUUGAAAAGAAAGAAAACAUGGUGCUUCAAGUAGUAAUGAUACAAUAGUUUCUUCUCGGAUGCA